rnacentral:rRNA from 1 species
UGACAUCCUUUGACAACUCUAGAGAUAGAGCCUUCCCCUUCGGGGGACAAAGUGACAGGUGGUGCAUGGUUGUCGUCAGCUCGUGUCGUGAGAUGUUGGGUUAAGUCCCGCAACGAGCGCAACCCUUAAGCUUAGUUGCCAUCAUUAAGUUGGGCACUCUAAGUUGACUGCCGGUGACAAACCGGAGGAAGGUGGGGAUGACGUCAAAUCAUCAUGCCCCUUAUGAUUUGGGCUACACACGUGCUACAAUGGACAAUACAAAGGGCAGCGAAACCGCGAGGUCAAGCAAAUCCCAUAAAGUUGUUCUCAGUUCGGAUUGUAGUCUGCAACUCGACUACAUGAAGCUGGAAUCGCUAGUAAUCGUAGAUCAGCAUGCUACGGUGAAUACGUUCCCGGGUCUUGUACACACCGCCCGUCACACCACGAGAGUUUGUAACACCCGAAGCCGGUGGAGUAACCUUUUAGGAGCUAGCCGUCGAAGGUGGGACAAAUGAUUGGGGUGAAGUCGUAACAAGGUAGCCGUAUCGGAAGGUGCGGCUGGAUCACCUCCUUU